rnacentral:lncRNA from 1 species
CAAAUCUCUUUUUAAGUGUUUUUGAGAAGAGUUCCUCUUCCUCCUAGUUUCCCUGGAGAUCGGCAUGCAAUGGACUAAGCCACCUAUCUGGGGAGUGCUUCAUCUUUUAGUAUCUUGUUAAUAUUUUCUUUGGUUUCAUGUACUUUCUGACUUCUAGCUGGGACAUCUUAGUUGUAGUUUAUACAUAUUGAUUAGAUGGAGAACAGGAAUGCAAGGAACCUGGUCCUUUUUUUAACUCUAGUUGACCUCUCUUUGCUAAGAGAGUUCUUAACUCAUUCAAGGGCCCAAGAACUAGAGAGAUAUUAUUAGAACUGGAAAGAACUUCAAGGAUAACCUAACUUGGACCAUCUCUUCAUGUAUGAGGGCAGCACUCUGUGUCUGUGCAAGAGAGCCAGAACCAGAAGCCACAGCUUCCGAACUCCAGAUACCUCUGGAUGGAUUCUACAAAUAUGUACUGCAUGAAGGUUUUUCACAUCUCACAUUGGCUAAAAAACUAACAUCUUGAAAUCUUGAAGAGGAUUUGCAGAAGGAUGGGAGGAGAACAUAUUGCAGAUUUCUUACAUGGUUCAAUUUAAAGAGAAAUGUAAUAUAUCACCAAAUAGGAGGAUUUUGAUCAACUUUCCUUCUACACAGAUGAGACUGGUUUAUCUUUAAGAAAUUUCUGGGAUGGUAAGUACUCACCAGUACAGGGGAUAAGAUAUCUUUCCAGGUCUAAGGUAAUUUGAUUAGGCUUUUAAUCCUUACCCAGAAGAAAGCUACACCUUUUUUCGCCAGGCUUUCUCCCUUCUUAUUAAUUGCCUAGCUUAAUUUGUACAAUCUUUCCAAAAUUUGGAACCCCCUAUUUUAAUCUCCAGCUUAAAAGUCCUUGACUCCUGUUCUCCAUAAGAUAUUUCCGGAAGUUCUUCUCUACACUAUAGGAUUCUCAUUCCUUCAUUGUGUGGCCCUCAGGGGGCUGCUAUGACACUCAUAACACAUAAUGGCACUCACUGCUCUGCACAUUUACAUGUGCUGUGCUCUGCUGUAUAUUUUCUGAGCACAGGGAGUGGGAAUGUAGUUUUACAUUCUAAGCACUGAGCACAGUUUGGCCCAAAGGAGUUCCUUAACAAAUAUUUCACGGCUGCAUAAAACAGCAUCACCUUUCAUUGCAUUCAAGACCCCUCAAAAAUCUGGCUCACUCAUGUUUGUCCAGCCUCCUCUCCUUUCCUUUGUAUUUAGCUUCCAGAUGGCUGCCACUCAGGAUCAUUUAAACACUCAAGUUUUCACCCUGUGCCCAUGCUAGUCUCCAUGUCUCUCCUUGUUGAGAUCUUAUUUACUUUUUUCAGCCUAAUUUAAAUACUCAUGUGUAUGUCUGAAUGUAUGCGUGUGUGAGAAAACUUUGACCCUUCUCUAACCGCAGCUAGAAAUCAUUUUGUCUCCUGUGUGUGCUUCGCUGUAAUCUGUUUAAUCCCAGUUGGUUGCAUUAUAGCUAGCUGUGCAUAUCAUGAUUUCCCUUACUUGCUGGCGAGUUCCUUG